CUUGGCGACCAUAGCGCUUUGGACCCACCUGACUCCAUGCCGAACUCAGUAGUGAAACGAAGCAGCGCCGAUGGUAGUGUGGGGUCUCCCC
rnacentral:rRNA from 1 species